UACGGAGGGUGCAAGCGUUAAUCGGAAUUACUGGGCGUAAAGCGCACGCAGGCGGUCAAUUAAGUCAGAUGUGAAAGCCCCGAGCUUAACUUGGGAAUUGCAUCUGAAACUGGUUGGCUAGAGUCUUGUAGAGGGGGGUAGAAUUCCAUGUGUAGCGGUGAAAUGCGUAGAGAUGUGGAGGAAUACCGGUGGCGAAGGCGACCCCCUGGACCAAGACUGACGCUCAGGUGCGUAAGUGUCGGGAGCCACCGGG
rnacentral:rRNA from 1 species